rnacentral:rRNA from 1 species
AAAGAUUAAGCCAUGCAUGUCUAAGUAUAAGCAAUUAUACCGCGAAACUGCGAAUGGCUCAUUAUAUAAGUUAUCGUUUAUUUGAUAGUACCUUACUACUUGGAUAACCGUGGUAAUUCUAGAGCUAAUACAUGCUAAAAAUCCCGACUUCGGAAGGGAUGUAUUUAUUAGAUUAAAAACCAAUGCCCUUCGGGGCUCACUGGUGAUUCAUGAUAACUCCUCGAAUCGCAUGGCCUUGUGCCGGCGAUGGUUCAUUCAAAUUUCUUCCCUAUCAACUUUCGAUGUUUGGGUAUUGGCCAAACAUGGUUGCAACGGGUAACGGAGGGUUAGGGCUCGACCCCGGAGAAGGAGCCUGAGAAACGGCUACUACAUCCAAGGAAGGCAGCAGGCGCGCAAAUUACCCAAUCCCGACACGGGGAGGUAGUGACAAUAAAUACUGAUACAGGGCUCUUUUGGGUCUUGUAAUUGGAAUGAGUACAAUUUAAAUCCCUUAACGAGGAACAAUUGGAGGGCAAGUCUGGUGCCAGCAGCCGCGGUAAUUCCAGCUCCAAUAGCGUAUAUUAAAGUUGUUGUGGUUAAAAAGCUCGUAGUUGAACCUUGGGCCUGGCUGGCCGGUCCGCCUCACCGCGUGCACUGGUCCGGCCGGGCCUUUCCCUCUGUGGAACCCCAUGCCCUUCACUGGGUGUGGCGGGGAA